rnacentral:rRNA from 1 species
GUCUAUGGCCAUGCCACCCUGAACAAGCCCAAUCCAGUCUGAUCUCGGAAGCUAAGCAGGGUCGGGCCUGGUUAGUACUUGGAUGGGAGACCACCUAGGAAGAUCAGGUGCUGUAGGCA